GCGAGUGAGCGGCAACAGCUCAAAUUUGAAAGCUAGCCUUCGGGUUCGCAUUGUAAUUUGUAGAGGAUGCUUUGGGUAAAACGCCAGUCUAAGUUCCUUGGAACAGGACGUCAUAGAGGGUGAGAAUCCCGUAUGUGACUGGAAAUGUUAACCUAUGUAAAGCUCCUUCGACGAGUCGAGUUGUUUGGGAAUGCAGCUCUAAAUGGGAGGUAAAUUUCUUCUAAAGCUAAAUAUUGGCGAGAGACCGAUAGCGCACAAGUAGAGUGAUCGAAAGAUGAAAAGCACUUUGGAAAGAGAGUUAAAAAGCACGUGAAAUUGUUGAAAGGGAAGCGCUUGCAAUCAGACUUGUUUAAACUGUUCGGCCGGUCUUCUGACCGGUUUACUCAGUUUGGACAGGCCAGCAUCAGUUUCGGCGGCCGGAUAAAGGCUCUGGGAAUGUGGCCUCCACUUCGGUGGAGGUGUUAUAGCCCAGUGUGUAAUACGGCCAGCCGGGACUGAGGUCCGCGCUUCGGCUAGGAUGCUGGCGUAAUGGUUGUAAGCGACCCGU
rnacentral:rRNA from 1 species